rnacentral:rRNA from 1 species
CCUACGGGCGGCUGCAGUGAGGAAUAUUGGUCAAUGGGCGCUAGCCUGAACCAGCCAAGUAGCGUGAAGGAUGACCGCCCUAUGGGUUGUAAACUUCUUUUAUAUGGGAAUAAAGUGCAGUAUGUAUACUGCUUUGCAUGUACCUUAUGAAUAAGGAUCGGCUAACUCCGUGCCAGCAGCCGCGGUAAUACGGAGGAUCCGAGCGUUAUCCGGAUUUAUUGGGUUUAAGGGGCGCGUAGGCGGGUUGUUAAGUCAGGUGUGAAAGUUUGCGGCUCAACCGUAAAAUUGCAGUUGAUACUGGCAGCCUUGAGUACAGUAGAGGUAGGCGGAAUUCGUGGUGUAGCGGUGAAAUGCUUAGAUAUCACGAAGAACUCCGAUUGCGAAGGCAGCCUGCUGGACUGUAACUGACGCUGAUGCUCGAAAGUGUGGGUAUCAAACAGGAUUAGAUACCCUAGUAGUC